GUGGAUCCCGUAGAGUACUACGGAUGCGUAGGGGUGCUAAUACCUUCCCUUCGCAUAAUCGACUCCCGAACCCAAGAUUUGGUUGCGUGACCUUGUCUUUUCCUUUCCUUUUUCCAGGUUUACUUCGAGCGUUUCCUUUCCCUCCUUUGGGAUGAAUAACGCACGGUGGCGACUCUUCUGUCAUUUCUUUCUCGCCGGUUG
rnacentral:lncRNA from 1 species